GUGGAUGGAAGUUCAACUCACCGAGCCGGGGUAUUAGGAUAAAGACUAAGCUUCUAGAACAAAGAGGCCCCCAAGCGGAGAAGCUCCCAGAGGCUAGCGGUUCACGCCAUCCGCAAGCAACAGGCGAGACUGCAGGUGGGCCGGGCCCGCUCUCCACCUUGUGGUUUUGGUCCCAGGUCCUGUCCUCGUCUUCGUGGUUGAAGCUGUUGCAGAUGCCUCCUUUCCACCCUGGGGAGGGGGUGAAAAUCCGGGGCCCUGGACGCCGUUUGCUCCAAGGAGGGAGAAUUUUCACGUGGCCUUUUCAUGCCCCUCACUGGUGGAAACUGAUCCCCACAGCUGCACCUGAGCCACAGCGCGGGGCUUUGCUCCUGGCUCGAUGCUCAUGUUCUGAGGAAGGACAGGAACCCACAGGGACACGGGCGUCGGCCCAGGAAAUCCGGGAGGAGGAGCAGGUUUCCUGGAAUUGGAAGCAGCCGGUGAGGAAGAUGCUGGAGACGCCCUGAGACGGCGGCUGAGACACCGAGCUGAGGCCGAGGGCACCGGCUCGGACCGCCUGGGCCAUCCCCACAGGGUUAGCAAAGACGCAAGAGGGCGUGAAGCCACGCGGUCGCACACCUGGUACCGCGCACAGUGAGAAAGGAGGGCAAGUGCGCUGAGACCCAGGAGGGAGGGCAGCCCUCCCCUGCGCUGCUGAGGCUCGUUUCUUUCAAUGUGUCCCUGGCUCUGUGCUGUAUCGUGCGUUUCAGUGUGCAUGAAAUAUCUUGUGCAAUCAUUUACGUGAAAUUAGAGCUAGUAGGAAAAUGUAUCGUCAGGCGUGGAAGAGCGCACUGCACCUUCUUUUUACUUGCGCGCACCUGAGGAUUGUCUAAAAUCCAGGCCUCACGGGACUCCCAGAGCCCGUGCUCGUCACAGCUGCUGGCUACAGAAACACAGCCUGCAAAGUCGGCCUCACCGCCAGCCAGACGAGCCCAGCCAGUUUCCACGAGCAGGGGAGGGCACACCCGGAGGCCACCGUGGAAAGCAGCCUGGCUGCCCUCGGGAAGCCACACGCGGAGCCGCCGCGGCCCAGCACUCCCACCCCUCGAUGUGUGCCCAGGUCGAAGGAAGGCUUGCCACCCGAAGGCCUGCACGGGAAAGCUCACAGCAGCGUUCUCCAAACAGCCAAAACGCGGAAGCAACCCCGAUGUGCGUGGGCUGGUGAAUGCAGGCCCAGCGCGGAGUGCGCACAGCCCGGAACGGCAUUCAGCCAAGAAAAGACCCACAGCCGGGAACAGCAUAUUCAGCCAAGAAAAGAAAGGGCGGCCUGGGGCGCUCUGCACCGCGGGUGAGCCGUGAGAACACGGCGCUCCGGGAGAGAAGCCAGCACGAGACGCUGCCUCGGGCGCGACUCCAUUUACUUGAAGUCCAGAGCCCGUAAAUCCGCGAGACAGACAUGGAGGAGCGGCUUACCAGGCCCAGGGUCCCAUCGCGUGCAGUCCCUGCUGUGCUACACACUCACCUUGGAUCGACGUCUUUGAAGCCUCCGGGGGCUGCAUGUGUAGCGGAACAGGCGAUGCUGAAGUCUUCCUCAGUGACUUCUCUGAAAAGCGAGCGUUCCACGUUGCCCGGCACCCACGACUCUGAGACUGUUUUCUUAAGGAUCAUCUAAGUGCAAUCUAGUGAUGGCGCCCACGCCUCGACGUGCUCACCCACCCGCAUGUUUACUCCUGGACGUCCAGGGGAGGAGCUGAGAGUGGAACGUCCAUCGCCCGUGGGGCCAUCCGGGGAUCUCGGCUUUGGAACGUGCUCAUCCACCUGCAUGUUUACUCCUGAAAGUCCAGGGAAGCUGAGAGUGGAGCAUCCAUCGCCCAUGGGGCCACCCAGGGGUCUUGGCUUUGGAACGUGCUUCUGGAAGCCAGUGGCGGUGUCCCCACGCAGAGCCACUGACCGGACGUGAGCCUCAGGGUGCUAUCUGUCUGGGGCCUGGCAGCAUGGUGUGGCCACAGGACCCACGGUGACAGGAGGCGAUGGCAGGGAGCGAGCGCACCAUCUCCUUAAGCAAAUCAAGUCAGCAGGGCUGUGGAGAGCAGGGUGGCGAGAAUCCGAGCGCCGAACUCCUGGGAUUCUGUUUCUCACUCUGCUUGUCUCCAUUUCCACCACAACGUAAGAGAAACCAUAUUAUUAAAAUGACCCACAUUAGCCUCUAUGUUUUGUCAAAUUUCAUCACACUCCCUCAGAAGGCUGGAAGUGGAAAGGGGCGUUGGAAUCGCAGCAGCGUCAGGCGUGUGGGCUGAGACAGGUUCAGCCUCACAGGCCCUGACCAGGGUGAGGACAGCAGGUGCCACUGAGGCAGCCACAUCUGGGACGGCACCAAAUGCCGCCUCCUCAGGCACUCUGCCACCGCUGUUGUGUUGUGCUGUGUUGUGGCUUCCUGGGGGUGAGGAGGUGGAGGUUCUUUUGUUCGUUUAAGGAAGAAAAUGAUAAAGUGAAGCUUUGGUUCUCCUCCCUGUAGACUUUGCAGCCAGACUCUUCGAUGAAAAACUGUCCUGGCAGUUUGCAGCGACUUUAACGGAACAUGCUGAUGGGGCUACCUACACCUUGGACACUUUUCCCUCAGCCCGGCCUGUUUUCCUGUUUCUCACAUGCGCUUUCUCACUUUCCAGCAGCCUCUUUCUCCUUUUUCAAUCUCUCCUGUCUGGCCUUCCAUUGUUAUUCAGCCUGCUCAUUGCUGCGGGCAGCCCGGACGUACUGGCCAUCAUCUGAAACCACAAACGACAGCGCGCAAUAAGCUGGAGAAAGCAGCAAUCUAGGAAAGUUCUUCAUUCACUCUUGUUCCUAACUCUCUGUCUUCUUAUCCUACACAGAAAAUAAAAAAAUCAAUACCGCCUCACAAGGCUUGAUAAAAGUGCCGGCUGAGUACAGCAGGCAUGCUGGAUAUAGUAAAUUAAAGUGAUCAAAACUUUCCAGUCGACUCUGCCUAUAGCCCACAUAAACUAACAGCCCUGUCUGUCGGAUGCCCAUCAGCUGGAAGCUUUAUUUUAUCGGUGCCUCUGAUUAUCUGGGGAACGAAUACAUAGGCCUGCUUG
rnacentral:lncRNA from 1 species